rnacentral:rRNA from 1 species
GACGGAGGGUGCAAGCGUUGUUCGGAUUGACUGGGCGUAAAGGGCGUGUAGGCGGUUGGUCAAGUCUGAUGUGAAAGCCCGGGGCUCAGCCCCGGAAGGGCAUCGGAAACUAGCCAGCUGGAGCGCGAUAGAGGAGGGUGGAAUUCCUGGUGUAGCGGUGAAAUGCGUAGAUAUCUGGAGGAAUACCGGUGGCGAAGGCGGCAUCCUGGACCGGCAUUGACGCUGAGGAGCGAAAGCUAGGGGAGCAAACGGG